AGUAAGAAAUAAAAUAUUAUAUUUAGUUUCGACCUAAAAUUUUGACUUAAAAAUCCUUACUU
rnacentral:tRNA from 1 species